GGGAUUGUGGCUCAAGUAGUAGAGUGCUUGCCUAGCACACAUGAGGCACUGGGUUCAAUCCUCAGCAACACA
rnacentral:tRNA from 1 species